UAGGUGGCGAGCGUUAUCCGGAUUUAUUGGGCGUAAAGCGUGCGCAGGCGGUUUGUUAAGUCUAAAAUUAAAGUCCGAAGCUUAACUUCGGUUCGUUUUAGAAACUGGCAGACUUGAGUAUGGUAGAGGCAAAUGGAAUUUCUAGUGUAGCGGUAAAAUGCGUAGAUAUUAGAAGGAACACCAGUGGCGAAGGCGAUUUGCUGGGCCAUUACUGACGCUCAUGCACGAAAGCGUGGGGAGCAA
rnacentral:rRNA from 1 species